GCCAGCUGCAGCUGCACAUUCUCAGAAAUAGUGAGGAAAAGAUUGAAAACUACACUCGAAGAGGUCCUUAUCAAGGUCACAAGGUGACUGAUUUUGUUUCAUCACAUGUCUCUGCUCUGAUGUUCUGCCAGACACAGUAUCAUCAGACACUGUGAUCUAGAAGGUCUCAGAUUGGAGAAUAACAGGUAAG